CCCCGCGGCUGAGGCGAGCGCUGGCCGGGGAAGUCGCUUCCGUCUGCUUGCCCUGCUCCAUUGCGGUUCUCUCCACUAAGACGAGCAGCAAAAAAUCUCAGUCCAUGCAUGAAGAGCAUGCCACACUUGGCAGCAGCUAUAUGAGACUUUUUGAUCCAGGUAGUCCCUCUCCUCCUUUUUGCAAGCUGAGAAAGUCACACUAGGGGCAACUUCAUUCACCAGGGCUUCUCCCAAAGGAGUUCUUGCCUGCAAGAGGGCAGUUGGCUGGCCCAGGUGAGCUCUCGUGAGGCUGGGAGAACAGCGAGGCCAGUUCCCAGGAACAGCUGCAUGCCCAAGUGGUGUGGAGAGUGCCAGCCUCACCUGGCUUUCCUGCAUGCCACCCCAGCCCCAUGCACUGCUUGGGCAGGGAGAGGAGGGCAGGGGAGUUUGCUGCCAAGAGUGACACGUCUGUGUGUGCCUGACAGCAUCUGUUGCCAUGGCAAUGCAUAUUUGAGCCUGAGCCGAGUUGCAUCUUCCCUGAAGUUGUGAAUUGAGCUUAGCUUUAUUUAUUUAAAACCAACCAUAAUGAGUGAAAGAAAGACGAGAGACACAUUACAAAUCCCCUUGCACAGGACGUAGCCAAAUGAGUCAGAGGCACUGCAGGCUUUAAUCAGCACACCUGACGUCAAACCUCUCCAUCAGAGGAAAGUGCCGCCUGGAAAUGUCAACAUGCCCAAAUGGAAAGGCCAGAAGGAUUUCUUGUGGAUCUGGACCUUGCUUUUAACCCUUGGCAGUACAUUGUCCUCCCACUCCCCUGACCAGCCUGUGUGUGCUGCAUCUACUUGGUUCUGACCAGGGCAGAUUCUGUUGGAUGUAGCCAAGAUGUGAGUGUCCAACUUCUCCGCCAUGCUUGAGGGGUCAAGUGGCACAAAUCUGCAUGGAUUUCCCUCUAGUCAUUCAUGUGGGUAACUGGGAGUUUGGAGUUGACUCUAUAUGGCACAUACAGUGUGUCAAAGCAGAGUUCUUGCCAUCCCUUGCCCCGACUCAUGCAGUCCUGUUCCAGCAGCUCUUCAGCUGCCUCC